GAAACUGCGCUGAUUAAGAAAAAUGUUGCUUCUCCCAGGCGCUUCAGGAGAAAAGGUCCACAUGUGUCUUUGUGUGGUCUUGCUCUUCCACAGAUUGACACCAUCUCAAAGCUGCCCUUGGCCCCAGGAUUUCAGCACAAAAUGGAUCUUGCACUCCAUCCCCAUCGCUGAAUGUAGCCUGAGUUAACAACAAACAACAACAGUCAUAAACCAGCAGCAAGGAAACUGCAUGAGCUGACCUGGUUCUGGCUAUCUGCAGGUCCAAAGCUGACACUCCCAGCUCUGCAGUGCUGCUAGUGAACAGGUCCUAUGGCUGACCCCGAGCUUGCAGAAGCUACUUGCACCGUGUAAGCGCAUCUGAUCUGACUAACCUGCCUGCACUUACAGCACACACAUCCUGUUGUUUUCCUCCAGAGUCAACAGGAGGGCAGGUGCUUCCAGAUGGGGCCAUUCUCUCACAACUGGGUAGUUUAGCACUGCUCCUUCUAUAGGCGCAAUUGGCCUGCAAGAGUCCAGACACACACUCCCGUCUUUUCAGUCAUGGAUACUCAUUGCUAUUCUGCUGCUUGCUGUUCAUACCAGUGGGAGGAGGUUGGUAACGUAUCGGGGUUGUUUGGUUGGCUGUUUGCCCCUGUCCUCAGUCAUCCACCCUUGCCUUCUUGGGCUUGCACCCAAGCAUUUCUGCCCUUUGUGCAUGCACCUUUUUAAAAACAAUUCCCAGGAAGAGCACAAGAGUUUAAAACUAAAACAUUACCAACCCAGUUAUCAUGUGUCACAAUGGCUGAAUGGUCAUAUUAAUUCUUUGGACACUGUCUUCUGUUGUAUACCUGCACAGCUCUACUGUAUUUUGA